rnacentral:rRNA from 1 species
GGACGGCACAUGAUACUGCGAGACUAGAGUAAUGGAGGGGGAACCGGAAUUCUCGGUGUAGCAGUGAAAUGCGUAGAUAUCGAGAGGAACACUCGUGGCGAAGGCGGGUUCCUGGACAUUAACUGACGCUGAGGCACGAAGGCCAGGGGAGCGAAAGGGAUUAGAUACCCCUGUAGUCCUGGCAGUAAACGGUGCACGCUUGGUGUGCGGGGAAUCGACCCCCUGCGUGCCGGAGCUAACGCGUUAAGCGUGCCGCCUGGGGAGUACGGUCGCAAGAUUAAAACUCAAAGAAAUUGACGGGGACCCGCACAAGCGGUGGAGUAUGUGGCUUAAUUCGAUGCAACGCGAAGAACCUUACCUGGGCUUGACAUGUAAUGAACAACAUGUGAAAGCAUGCGACUCUUCGGAGGCGUUACACAGGUGCUGCAUGGCCGUCGUCAGCUCGUGUCGUGAGAUGUUUGGUUAAGUCCAGCAACGAGCGCAACCCCUGUUGCCAGUUACCAGCACGUGAAGGUGGGGACUCUGGCGAGACUGCCCAGAUCAACUGGGAGGAAGGUGGGGACGACGUCAGGUCAGUAUGGCCCUUAUGCCCAGGGCUGCACACGUACUACAAUGCCCAGUACAGAGGGGGUCGAAGCCGCGAGGCGGAGGAAAUCCUAAAAACUGGGCCCAGUUCGGACUGUAGGCUGCAACCCGCCUACACGAAGCCGGAAUCGCUAGUAAUGGCGCAUCAGCUACGGCGCCGUGAAUACGUUCCCGGGUCUUGUACACACCGCCCGUCACAUCAUGGAAGCCGGUCGCACCCGAAGUAUCUGAAGCCAACCGCAAGGAGGCAGGGUCCUAAGGUGAGACUGGUAACUGGGAUGAAGUCGUAACAAGGUAGCCGUAGGGGAACCUGCGGCUG